UACAGAGGUGGCAAGCGUUGUUCGGAAUUACUGGGCGUAAGGGGCUCGUAGGUGGCCAACUAAGUCAACCGUGAAAUCCCUCGGCUUAACCGGGGAACUGCGCUUGAUACUGGAUGGCUUGAGUUUGGGAGAGGGAUGCGGAAUUCCAGGUGUAGCGGUGAAAUGCGUAGAUAUCUGGAGGAACACCGGUGGCGAAGGCGGCAUCCUGGACCAAUACUGACGCUGAGGAGCGAAAGCUAGGGGAGCAAACGGG
rnacentral:rRNA from 1 species